ensembl:lncRNA LINC01094 long intergenic non-protein coding RNA 1094
CUUUUCAGUUCUGUCUUCCUGAGGCUGCUGUUUCUGGGCAUGGCCAGGGGAUCUUCAGACUUUACAAACCAGUUGUGCAGAGCCAGGCAUUUCAAUAAGGAACAAAAUGCUGAGUAACAACAUGAAGUCAGAGUGUUGCUUGCCAAGAGCUGGGAGGCCUGGGUGGUUUCCCAAUCUUAAAGAAGCAGAAGGAUAUUAAAGUGAGCCUCCCAAAGGAAAACGUGGAUCUACUUACCAACGCAGAAAAUGAUACACACGGAUUCGAUUUAGGCACGCUACAUUCAAAUGACUUGGAAGAGCAGGUUCUCUGAGCCAGGAUACUAAAGUCCCUGUUUAGGAAAGAGCCACGUUGUAUGUUUACCCUACCACAAAGAUACAGUCAUGUGCCUGGGAAAGAUUGAUGCCAGCUCCAGAAAGGCAUCCGAAUGGUCUAAGUAAUGCCAUCCAUCUGUCAGUAAUAGAUUCAGAAAUGGAAUUCUGGAGGAAAGUGGCUCUGGGAAUUGAACAGUGGCUCAGUGAUGUUGGGGCCACCAAGUCUGCAAUUCUCCCUACCUGUUCUUCAUGGUUGUAAGAUGACUGCUGCAAUUCUCGGCAUCAUGUGCAUGUUAAUGUCAGGAGGAAGAAAGGAAGAGGGAGCACUGGGAUGUUACAUUCAUUUUGUCAGGAAAAGCAAAGCCUUUCCAGACAGCUCCGAAACUUGCUUACCUCUCAUUGGCCAGCACCAUCACUUGACCACUUGUCCACUCCUAGCUGCAAGGAAAGUGGCAAAGUAGAAGGUAUUUGAGAAUGUCUGCUGGGUUAGCCAAAACAAUAGUGACUUCUACACCCAAUUUUCUGGGCACUGCAGAAGUAUCCUUGAGUCCUAUGUGAUCAGAGGGAGAGCAAACCUCAAUAAUGAAACAGAUUCAAUUUCCAUCACCCAGUGAGACACCAUGGGAUUAGAAUAAAUUUUUAAAAAAACAAAUUGAAAAAAAUGCAUUUUUAAAACAACAAAAUCAGAAAGGAUGAAAGGUGAUAUUUCUAGCAUAUCAGUUUGUGGUGGUAAAUUAAUUACCUUAUACAAAGGCCUCAGUGACUUUCUUCUCCUUACCUAACGAAUCAUCUUUAAAAUAAGUAAAAUAAAGAAACAAGAGCAGCAGCAGAUGCUUCCUAAAAAGAAGUUACCAAAUCUGUUCACCACAAACCUGAGAAUUCAACUGUGGACAUUUGGACACCAGCAAUGAACAUGAAACUCAGCUUAUGAGGCAUAUUUGGCUAAAGGUCAAGGUGACUUAAAGUUCAUCAUAGGACAUCUACAAUUUGCAAAGCAGGUGACUGGAUAUGGACUCCUUCCAAGUCUCAUUUAAUUGGAUAAUGCCUACGUUUUAAGUAUCAGAAGUGAGUCUUUCUCUAUUAAAUGAAGUCAGUUCCACUAAAACCUAAAUCUUGUUUGGCAGGCACUCCAUGUUUCUUAAUUUUUAUUCCAUGCUGUAUAUUCUUUUAGACUUGAUUUUCACUUUUUUUUCUUUUUUCCUGUACAUUUAUCUUUGCUGUGAAACAAAGUGCCCUGCUUUGAAGGACAGGUUUGUGGGCUGCUGGUGGUGAGACAACAGCAGUCCUUCCAAGUCUUCCUCCCAUCACUCUGUUAGCUCUCCCUUUGUUUUUAAUUAGCAUUACACCAGUUAAUUCUGUUAUCUCUUAACCCUGGUUCUGCAUCCUCUUCUUCUUUUCUAUUCCUUACUCCGCUCCUGUUUUUUCUUGUUCUGCUUUUCCAAGAAAUGUCUUGUCUCCUCAUCAGUUGACUGUCUUCUCUUUCCAGAGGGACCAUAAAGGUGCCAGCCUAAGGAACACGUAAAACGUGGGAACAGACAAACAAGCUGCUGCCUAUUACAGAGAUAGAUAAUUAACUUUGGACCAUUACAUGCAAUUCAUCAGCUUAUCUUUUUCAAACUUUAUAUAAGAAGUCAUUUCCCAAUGGUAACCACUUGCCAGCUGCAACUUUGACGCAUAUUAUCAGGAUAGGUGAGAUUGAUGGGGGCCCUUUGAACUCUUCCCAGGGAAUUAUCUUUAUAAUGUUACAGUUUUCUCUAUAGCAUGGUCAUAUUGUUAACAUUGGUUAUAAGGUCAUAUGGUUAGUAUGGUUAGUAUUGGUGGCUCACAGCUGUAAUACCAGCACUUUGGGAGGCCAAGGUGGGAGGAUCACUUGAGCCCUGGUGUUCAAAACCAGCUCUGGAAACAUAGCAAGACCUUGUCUCUACAAAAAAAAAUUAAAUAAAUUAAAAGAUUAGCUGGGCAUGGUGGCACAUGCCUGUAGUCCUCACUACUUGGGAAACUAAGGUGGGAGGAUCCUUUGAGCUUGGGAGGUUGAGGCUGCAGUGAGCUGUGGUUGUGCCAUGGCACUCCAGCCUGGGUGACAGAGUGA